AGGGAACUGCAGGUUGCACCAAUUGUACUGUAGUUCCAUGGUAGCUGCACUGAUGUUGAUUGCCACUGUGUACAGCAGCAUUGCUUUGAAGAAUAUUGAAGUUAUCAACUGAGGCUAUUGUGAAAACAGAAGGAGAAAGUACUGUCCAAACAUUUUUUCCCUGUUUCCACUAGCAUGCAUGCUGUAGCAUGCAUGCUGUAGCAUGCAUGCUGACAAACUUGUCAUGUGUGUCUGGUGAAGAAACACAUCCGAGUCUAUUCAGAAUGCUUAUUAGCUGUCGUGAACCACCACCUGUCUCAACAAUAUCAGUUAAGACUGAAAUGCUGUUGGCUUUCGUGGGUUGGUGAUGAACAUUAAAAGAGAUAUGAUGAAAAGAAGAUGGGUUUGUGUAAUGUGGGCUGUUAAUUUACUGUAAUUUGAUGGACUCUGUGUGGCUUGAUCCUCCAUAAACAGACAUAUGUUGAAAUUGCAUGGAUCUUUAUUUAUAUUACGAUGCCCAAUUUCUUUGUUAAUUAAUUUGUUGACAAUUUUUGCACUUUUAUCUAGUAUUUGUGGCUCAUUUAAGUGCUCAUUGUCAUGCAUGUAUUGAAAAGAAUCUUGGCAUUGCUUUGAUUGUAGAGCCCAUGAUAAGGAAGUCAAAAGGAUCAACUGAUAUAGAAGCCAACAGGGAGUGAACUUGGUGGUACCAUUUUCUGUUUCAAGAACAACAUCUGUAUUAUAGACUGAAGUAGCGAUGUAAGCAUUUAUCACUAUUAAGGCAUUGAGAAAAACUCUGCAAGCAUCACUCAAGUAGAGCCUUGUCUUGUGUAAUGCUUCUGGCAACAGCUAGAACUGCACUUAAAACUGCUCUUUUUAGGAUCUGUUUCAAUGUUCCUGAUUAUGGAAAUGUGUGCGUUAUAGCACGACUUACAUAAGUCAUUUGAGAUCAGCACAACACCAUGAUUUGAGGAACAUAAUUUGGUUUAUGAUGGUAUUGACUUGCUUCAAAGUAAUGUUUUUUUACAAACAAAUAUUGCUGCACUUUGGUUAUCAGUUGUGUUUGGCAAAUGACGGAAAAUAAAAGACUGGUAUUCAUCUUUCCAGCUAGUUACGGUCAUCAGCUCUCUUGCCACAUACGUGACACUGCUUUGGUGGUCCUUCAGCCAUUUGGGAUACAAGAUAAACAAUGUAAUACCAAACUCUUGACCCUAUAUUCUUUAAGACAAAUUUGUACUAUGGAUAAAUAAAUGACAAGAACAGUUCAGCUGCUUACUAUAGUUUCUCUUGAAAUAUCUUCCCACCGCGCUGCUUUUACAAAUCGUGUGUAAUAUUUAUAGAUAGCUUAUUCAUAGCUCCCCAGCUUCUUUAAAAUGUGUGCUGUGCGUGGAAGUAUCAUUGCAGAUAAAUCUCGAGAACGGAGCAUAACCGGACAAGGUUGCGACUAGACUGAACCAAGCCAAGUAGUAGACAAGUAUCAUUGAACAGUAGAUGACUUUUGUACACAUCUGAGCUGGUUUAACGCCAAAUCUCGGAGAUGCAAUAGACUUUUUGCUGAGAAUCACUAAGACCACUUUUUGCUAUAAUGAAAACAUCAAUACAACAAUACAAUAAUGUAUGUUUAUACAUGAAUUAGGUAAUCCUUAUCACAAUUGCCCAUCUCUUGACAUGCAUAAGUACACAAACAAACCACUUCUAAUCCAUCUAGACCAGGCUUGUUGACAAUGAAACUCACAAAGGUAUAUAUAGUAGCACAAGGGAACAGUCAUUUAGCUCACUUUGACUAAAUUCAGUUGUGAAGUAUAGAGGCUCCCAAGUUGGGUUCCAUGACAAUAAAAUUUUCAACGCUUCAGCAUCUGCUGUCACUGUUAAAUGCUCAGUGAUAAAUUCAGCUACUGGGAUGUACCCACAGUUGGACCAAAUGCAAAGCAAAAAAGAGGAAGGGUGCACUUGGUUGUUUUAUAUGUUGCAUUGAAGAGGCAAAUACCACUAUAUGUUAUAAGUAAGCGUUGAUGCCACCAUUCUUGAUGAACAAAAAGAAAAGUGGUACCAUUUAUUUCAUCACAUGCUUCAUCAUCUUGAGAUGUUUUCUGAAUUAGAACUGACAAACGUAACCUUCCUUUUAGCAGAAUGCUUUCCUUUGGAUGCAGUAGACUGAUUAGAUAUAUUAGCACUAUCAACAGAACAUUUUACAUUAGAAUAUUUUGCAUUUUUUGGUGUCAGGGAAAAAGUAGAUUUUCCAACGACAAUUCAACCAACCCUUCCAACUGAAAUUGAUCAAAUUUAGGAUACUGCCCACAACCAAAUGCGGAAUGGACAACGUUAAGUGUAAUUAUCUUUAUCAAAGGGAAAGUAUGCUCGAUCACUUGGUAGCGGUUUAACGGGAUCUUGUGAAUUUUUCUCUGCCAUAAACUGACAGAGAAUUCUUCGGAAGUUUGACAUUCGUAACACCAUGUGACACCAAUUUAAAUAGUUCUCUACGUACUUUCUCAUUAAGUAAUCGAACAGAUUCAAUUAAUUUUUGUAAGUAAUUAAUUUUUCAUGGCAGGGUCACAAAAUACAUCUUCUGGACUUUAGCAAUACCACUUUUAAAGUGUAUUCAAAUCAGGGAGUUGUUUUGCCUUCAUGGCCCUUGAUCGAUUUAAUGGAACAGAGAAAUUAGGAAAUCAAAUAUAACUAUGAAAAAUUACUUUAGAUAUUAUAUAUUACUCACAUUGUUGAUUCUUUGAUCACUUGAGUUGCUUUACAUCCAA
rnacentral:lncRNA from 1 species